AUACGGAGGAUCCGAGCGUUAUCCGGAUUUAUUGGGUUUAAAGGGUGCGCAGGCGGGAGAUUAAGUCGGCGGUGAAAUUUUGCAGCUCGACUGUAAAAGUGCCUUCGAAACUGGUUUCCUUGAGUGUAGAUGAAGUAGGCGGAAUUUGUGGUGUAGCGGUGAAAUGCAUAGAUAUCACGAGGAACUCCGAUUGCGCAGGCAGCUUACUAAACUACUACUGACGCUCAGGCACGAAGGCGUGGGGAUCAAACAGGAUUAGAUACCCUGGUAGUCCACGCAGUAAACGAUGAUUACUAGCUGUUUGCGAUACAAUGUAAGCGGCUGAGCGAAAGCGUUAAGUAAUCCACCUGGGGAGUACGUUCGCAAGAAUGGAACUCAAAGGAAUUGACGUGG
rnacentral:rRNA from 1 species